AGGCGUGAUGACGAGGCACUACGGUGCUGAAGCAACAAAUGCCCUGCUUCCAGGAAAAGCCUCUAAGCAUCAGGUAACAUCAAAUCGUACCCCAAACCGACACAGGUGGUCAGGUAGAGAAUACCAAGGCGCUUGAGAGAACUCGGGUGAAGGAACUAGGCAAAAUGGUGCCGUAACUUCGGGAGAAGGCACGCUGAUAUGUAGGUGAAGUCCCUCGCGGAUGGAGCUGAAAUCAGUCGAAGAUACCAGCUGGCUGCAACUGUUUAUUAAAAACACAGCACUGUGCAAACACGAAAGUGGACGUAUACGGUGUGACGCCUGCCCGGUGCCGGAAGGUUAAUUGAUGGGGUUAGCGCAAGCGAAGCUCUUGAUCGAAGCCCCGGUAAACGGCGGCCGUAACUAUAACGGUCCUAAGGUAGCGAAAUUCCUUGUCGGGUAAGUUCCGACCUGCACGAAUGGCGUAAUGAUGGCCAGGCUGUCUCCACCCGAGACUCAGUGAAAUUGAACUCGCUGUGAAGAUGCAGUGUACCCGCGGCAAGACGGAAAGACCCCGUGAACCUUUACUAUAGCUUGACACUGAACAUUGAGCCUUGAUGUGUAGGAUAGGUGGGAGGCUUUGAAGUGUGGACGCCAGUCUGCAUGGAGCCGACCUUGAAAUACCACCCUUUAAUGUUUGAUGUUCUAACGUUGACCCGUAAUCCGGGUUGCGGACAGUGUCUGGUGGGUAGUUUGACUGGGGCGGUCUCCUCCUAAAGAGUAACGGAGGAGCACGAAGGUUGGCUAAUCCUGGUCGGACAUCAGGAGGUUAGUGCAAUGGCAUAAGCCAGCUUGACUGCGAGCGUGACGGCGCGAGCAGGUGCGAAAGCAGGUCAUAGUGAUCCGGUGGUUCUGAAUGGAAGGGCCAUCGCUCAACGGAUAAAAGGUACUCCGGGGAUAACAGGCUGAUACCGCCCAAGAGUUCAUAUCGACGGCGGUGUUUGGCACCUCGAUGUCGGCUCAUCACAUCCUGGGGCUGAAGUAGGUCCCAAGGGUAUGGCUGUUCGCCAUUUAAAGUGGUACGCGAGCUGGGUUUAGAACGUCGUGAGACAGUUCGGUCCCUAUCUGCCGUGGGCGCUGGAGAACUGAGGGGGGCUGCUCCUAGUACGAGAGGACCGGAGUGGACGCAUCACUGGUGUUCGGGUUGUCAUGCCAAUGGCACUGCCCGGUAGCUAAAUGCGGAAGAGAUAAGUGCUGAAAGCAUCUAAGCACGAAACUUGCCCCGAGAUGAGUUCUCCCUGACUCCUUGAGAGUCCUGAAGGAACGUUGAAGACGACGACGUUGAUAGGCCGGGUGUGUAAGCGCAGCGAUGCGUUGAGCUAA
rnacentral:rRNA from 1 species